UCUUUCUUACGAAAGCAGUUUCGUCUGACACAUAUAACAGACGAUGGGGGUUGCGCUCGUUAAUCCACUUAAGGAAACCAUUCACAUGACGAGCUGACGACAGCCGUGCAGCACCUGUCUAGCACCCUCGAAGGCUUCUCCGUUUCUGGAGCGUGCAGCUAGAUUUCAAGCCUUGGUGAGGUUCCUCGCUUAGAGUCGAAUUGAACCGCAUGAUCCACCGCUUGUGCAAAUUCCCGCCUAUUUCUUUGAGUUUUAAUCUUGCGAUCGUACUUCCCAGGCAAUACAUUUAACGCGUUGGCUUCGCCACUGGAAGGGUCGAUGCUCCCAAUAGCUAAUGUAUAUCGUUUAGGGCGUGGACUA
rnacentral:misc_RNA from 1 species